AAAGAGUCCCUCCCGACUGUUUACCAAAAACACAGCACUUUGCCAACUCGUAAGAGGAAGUAUAAGGUGUGACGCCUGCCCGGUGCUCGAAGGUUAAGAGAAUGCGUCAGUCGCAAGAUGAAGCGUUGAAUUGAAGCCCGAGUAAACGGCGGCCGUAACUAUAACGGUCCUAAGGUAGCGAAAUUCCUUGUCGGUUAAAUACCGACCUGCAUGAAUGGCGUAACGAGAUGGGAGCUGUCUCAACCAGAGAUUCAGUGAAAUUGUAGUGGAGGUGAAAAUUCCUCCUACCCGCGGCAAGACGGAAAGACCCCGUGGACCUUUACUACAACUUAGCACUGCUAAUGGGAAUAUCAUGCGCAGGAUAGGUGGGAGGCUUUGAAGUAAGGGCUUUGGCUCUUAUGGAGCCAUCCUUGAGAUACCACCCUUGAUGUUUCUGUUAGCUAACUGGCCUGUGUUAUCCACAGGCAGGACAAUGCUUGGUGGGUAGUUUGACUGGGGCGGUCG
rnacentral:rRNA from 1 species